AGACGCACCAGCUAAGCCUCUCCUGCGGCCCAUUUCUCCCGGCGGCUUUGUUUGGUGGAAACCGUUCUUUCCCCGUAAAUCUUGGGCAAGCCCUGGAACUCAUUACGGAGAGGAUAUGUCUCAAUUUGUUCUGCCUUAACGCCGGGUUGGGCCUGGAGUCGGGGCCGCCGCCGGAGCCCAUGAAAUUGAUGGACUGAGACUUCGCGCCCCGAGACGACGGCGCGCGGCCCAUCUGGAAUUCCAGUCUGAGGGCCCCGCAGCAGCACUCCUGACCCCGGAUUCAACUUUGGGGAAGAA
rfam:Anolis carolinensis chromosome 1, whole genome shotgun sequence.